rnacentral:rRNA from 1 species
CAGCCGCCGCGGGAAUACGGAGGGUGCAAGCGUUAAUCGGAAUUACUGGGCGUAAAGCGCACGCAGGCGGUCUGACAAGUCAGAUGUGAAAUCCCCGGGCUUAACCUGGGAACUGCAUUUGAAACUGUCAGGCUGGAGUCUUGUAGAGGGGGGUAGAAUUCCAGGUGUAGCGGUGAAAUGCGUAGAGAUCUGGAGGAGUACCGGUGGCGAAGGCGGCCCCCUGGACAAAGACUGACGCUCAGGUGCGAAAGCGUGGGGAGCAAACAGGAUUAGAUACCCCGGUAGUCCCUGUCUCUUAUAC